rnacentral:rRNA from 1 species
AGCAGCCGCGGUAAUUCCAGCUCCAAUAGCGUAUAUUAAAGUUGUUGCAGUUAAAAAGCUCGUAGUUGAAUUUCGGGAUCAAUAUGUCGGUCGUGCCUUCGGUACGUACUGGCAUCAUUGGUUUCUCCCUUCUGACAAACCAUGAUGUCAUUAAUUUGGUGUUAUGGGGAGUUAGGACUGUUUACUUUAGAAAAAAUUGAGUGUUUAAAGCAGGCAUUAGCUUGAAUACAUUAGCAUA